rnacentral:rRNA from 1 species
GACGAACGCUGGCGGUAUGCUUAACACAUGCAAGUCGAACGAGACGAGAUGGAAGGAUCCUUCGGGUGACGGAAAUCUUAGAAAGUGGCGAACGGGUAAGUAACGCGUGGGUAACCUGCCCUAUGGAAAGGAAUAGCCUCGGGAAACUGGGAGUAAUGCCUUAUAAUACAUUGAAGUCGCAUGGCUUUGAUGUUAAACGCUCCGGUGCCAUAGGAUGGACCCGCGUCCCAUUAGCCAGUUGGUGAGAUAACAGCCCACCAAGGCGACGAUGGGUAACCGGUCUGAGAGGGCGAACGGUCACACUGGAACUGAGACACGGUCCAGACUCCUACGGGAGGCAGCAGUGGGGAAUAUUGCGCAAUGGGGGAAACCCUGACGCAGCAAUACCGCGUGAGUGAAGAAGGUUUUCGGAUCGUAAGCUCUGUUAUUGGGGAAGAAAAAAGACGGUACCCAAGAAGAAAGUCCCGGCUAACUACGUGCCAGCCGCCGCCGUAA